GUGCUCGCUUAUGGCAGCCCAUACACUAAAAUUGGAAUGAUACAGAGAAGAUUAGCAUGGCCCUUGUGCAAGGAUGACACGCAGAUUCAUGAAGCGUUCCAUGUUUUU
ensembl:snRNA U6 U6 spliceosomal RNA